rnacentral:rRNA from 1 species
CUGGGAGACUGCCGGUGAUAAACCGGAGGAAGGCGGGGAUGACGUCAAGUCCUCAUGGCCCUUACAUCCCGGGCUACACACGUGCUACAAUGGCAGGUACAGAGGGCUGCGAAGCCGCGAGGUGGAGCGAAUCCCCAGAAAAACCUGUCUCAGUCCGGAUUGAAGUCUGCAACUCGACUUCAUGAAGGCGGAAUCGCUAGUAACCGCGAAUCAGCAGGUCGCGGUGAAUACGUUCCCGGGCCUU